AAUGGGGGAAACCCUGAUGCAGCGAUGCCGCGUGAGUGAAGAAGGCCUUUGGGUUGUAAAACUCUUUCGUCGGGGAAGAAAAUGACUGUACCCGAAUAAGAAGGUCCGGCUAACUUCGUGCCAGCAGCCGCGGUAAUACGAAGGGACCUAGCGUAGUUCGGAAUUACUGGGCUUAAAGAGCUCGUAGGUGGUUAAAAAAGUUGAUGGUGAAAUCCCAAGGCUUAACCUUGGAACUGCCAUCAAAACUUUUUAGCUAGAGUGUGAUAGAGGUAAGUGGAAUUUCUAGUGUAGAGGUGAAAUUCGUAGAUAUUAGAAAGAACACCAAAUGCGAAGGCAACUUACUGGGUCACUACUGACACUGAGGAGCGAAAGCAUGGGUAGCGAAGAGGAUU
rnacentral:rRNA from 1 species